AAGAGAUUCGCUUGGGUCUUCUUCAUCAUCUCUCCGUUCAUCAACUGUACGUUUUUUGAAUAACAAUUUGUUUUCGGAUUUUGAAUUCUCGUCGUUUUUUCCCCCUCUUCACUCGUUCAUGUGCUUUUUUUAGGGUUUUGAAAAAUCGCAAUUCGUCCCUCGUUUUCUUCAAUCAAAGACAUGAACAUAGCAAGAUAUGAAAUCCUUGACUCACUCAUGAUUUGCUUUAAGCCUAAAAUCUAUGGCUAUUUGAAAACCGAAAUUGUUAUGCGAACUUGGGCAUUGAUUAGAUUCGUUCGAUUUUUCAUCCAAUGGCUUGAAAUUGGCGAAAAACCCUGAAUCCAUCUUACUCUCACUUCUUCUCACCUUCGUUGUUCUUUUAUCAAUUGUCGAGAAAACUGUGCGAUCUUCAAGGAUGGCUAUGGAAGUUAAAGGAGACUAGGAGAGUCGCUUGGGUCUUCUUCAUCAUCUCUCCGAUCGUCAACGAGAAAACUGUGCGAUCUUCAAGGAUUGGACCGAGGAAGACGCAGCCUCCGAUCCGUUUCAUGAUUAAUCACCAUAUGAAAAAAAGCUUUCAGAGUCUAAUGUGACACCAACGAAUGUAAUAACUUAUAAGGGUUCUUCUCAAUGACUUGAAGAAUGCAUACAUACAUUCAUGCAUCUUCAUUCAUACAUACAUGCAUACAUACACACAUGCAUUCAUACAUUCAUGCAUACAUACAUACAUGUGUAAAUUCAUACACAUAUGCUUGCAUACUUGCAUAAUUGCUUGCUUCCGUGAUUUUCUGCUUGAUUGAUUUUAUACUUGCUCACUAAGUUACUUGCUUCUUUGAUUUGUUGUUUACUUCUUUGCUCCCUUUCCUUGGUUCCAUGCGUGUUUGCUUGCUUCUUUCCUUGGUUACUUUUUUCGUGCUUGUUUGCUUUCUUAUCUCGUCCUUGAUUCUUUGCUUAGUUGUGUACUCGUUUGCUUUCUUAUUUCUUCCGUGAUUCAUUUCGUAGUUGUGUACUUGUGUGCUAUUUUACUUGCUUCAUUGAUUCCUUGUUUACUUUCUUGCUUGCUUCAUUAUAUAUAUAUAUUUUUUUUUUUAUUUCCUGCUUUCUUGCUUGCAUAACUUCCUUACCUAUUGAACUUGUUCUACGUUCCUUACUUUCAUCCUAAUAACUAACUCUCGAACUGGAUUUCUUUAGAUAGUUCUAGGGUACUUUUUGAAAACAUUACAGAUGGAGACUCCAAAACUUUUUUCAAAACUCAAAACUGGUGAUGACCACUUGCUUACACAGUCAUGCUUAUACUAAACGAGAUAAGGGAAUGCGCAUUUCAGGUCAUUUCGCAGCAGUCGUUUGAUCAUGAACUUCCUAUAUCAUGAGACGAUUGUGCCCAUAAGAAAAGAAAACGCCAGAAAUUAAAUGAUUGGGGCUUUGAGAACGCAAAAAGCAAUAAAUGAGUGAAAAGGUUGCUCGAUAAGUUGGCUCCUAUGCGUCAAAUGCAACCUGUCACGAAGCUCUAAAUACAAUCGCUACGCAACAAUCACCUCUUUAAUGGAAGCAAAAACGGAAGAAAGUAAUUCAUGGUAUUUGCUAUAGGGGAGAAGCUUAAAAUAGGAGACAUGGCUUGUCAUAGGUUCAUAAAAUAAGAGACAGGGAUCGGAUUAUCAUCAGUUCAUAAUCGGCCACAGGUGUUUGCAUGUCCAAACUGUGGUGGUGAUAGUGAGUUCAUUUCAUAAAAAGUUUCAGAAGAAGGAGUGAAGGACGCAUGAUGUCAUCUCGAAGGAUCUUAUCAUUAUAGCCAUAUGGUUAAUAGCCGUUUCCUGUGUUGUUCAUAUGUUCAAACUGUGGUUGUGAUGGUGAGGUCAUUUCUGAACAUUUCCGGGAAAAUGGACGUGUGUAGUCGUAAAGAGUUGAAGGAGACACUCUAGCCCAUGAAGGAACUACAGAUAUAUACUCUAUUCCAUAAUGGGCGUUUUGCAGUCCGAGUUACCAUACCCAAUCAAAGAAGCUUAAAGCACUGAAAAAAGGACAUAUAAGGUAAUAGAGAAAAGGCAAGAGCAAAUAACGGAUUUGUGGAAAAGGCGGUGGUGAUGGCAAAAAAUUGUUGGAAGAACUUGCAUCUCGGAAUAACACACGCUACGCUACGCCUCUACAAACUACUGAGCUGAUGAGUCCCUUCGUUUGUAUGCUGCUUUUGGAACUCUGUAGUGUAGCUUAAAGCACUCCAUCUGUAGCUCUGAAAACAGGACAACUGAAGCUACAGAGAAAAGCCAAGAACCCGAACAAGAAACCAGUUUGUGGAAGAUCAAAAUGCUUGAGUGAUAACCUCUAUGGUUCCAUCUUCUAGUUUCUUAAGUUAAAUCCUUCUCUCAGGACAACUGAAGUUACAUAGAAAAGCCAAUAACCGGAACAAGAAACCAAUUGUUCGAACAACAUCAUCCUUGAAGUCCUUUGGUAGUGAAUUCGAUCGAUCUCUUGAAUUUUCAAACACAUUGCAUACAUGCAUACAUGCAUACAUGCCUACAUGCAUACAUGCAUACAUGCAUACAUGCCUACAUACAUGCAUACAUGCCUACAUACAUGCAUACAUGCCUACAUGCAUACCUGCCUACAUGCAUACAUACAUGCAUACAUGCAAUCAUACAUGGAUGCAUUCAUACAUACAUACAUUCAUGCAUACAUGCAUGCAUGCAUACAUACAUAUUUAGUGCGUUAUUCGUUUCUCUGCUUCUUUUAUUUCUCUCUUUAUUUCCUUGUUUGCUUCUCUGCUUCUUGAUAUUCUGUUUAUUUUAAUUGUUUGCUUCUCUCAUUCCAAUGCUUGCUUCUUUGCUUAAACUUGUUUGCUUACUUCUUUGUUUUCUAAGUGUGUUCACACUUUUUAGCACAUUAAUAAAAUAGUCCUUCACUGCAUUUAAUUUAAGUAUUUAACCAAUUAAUUUAAAUUAAUUUAUUGCGAUUAGUAUUAUUAUUUUCUGCUAAUUGCUACCUUUUUUCUUAUCGAAGACAUUAAAAUUACUAUUGUAAUCAGCGAGUGUCGAGAGAUUUUUUUUUCUUCUUUUUUUGACCAAUUUAUCGAAGUGUCGAGAGAUUAUUGGUGACUAAAUUUGUAUUAUUUUGAAUAUAUCUCGAGAUGACAUUUUGUACGAAUUUUUAUAUAUUUAACUAGAU